rnacentral:rRNA from 1 species
UACGUAGGGGCUAGCGUUGUCCGGAAUCAUUGGGCGUAAAGAGCGUGUAGGCGGUCCGGUAAGUCCGCUGUGAAAGUCGGGGGCUCAACCCUCGAAUGCCGGUGGAUACUGUCGGGCUAGAGUACGGAAGAGGCGAGUGGAAUUCCUGGUGUAGCGGUGAAAUGCGCAGAUAAUCAGGAGGAACACCUAUUGCGAAGGCAGCUCGCUGGGACGUAACUGACGCUGGAGACGCGAAAGCGUGGGGAGCAAACAGGAUUGAGAACC